UAGGGGGGCAGAAGCGGGCACUGUCUGGAGGGAGCAGGGGCUUCUGAGAAGAGCCAUGACCCCCGGCCCCACCACCCAGAGGCACUGUCCUGGGGCAGGUCACUCCUAGGGUCCCGGGUCAGCAGGACCGUGAGGACAGGGGUGUGUAGCCGGCCCCGCAGUCGUUCACAGCGUCCUGGAGAAUUCCUGCUGGCUGUGGAGGGGCUCGAGGGGCGGCUGGCCCCAGGAUUCGGGAUGUGGGUGAGGAGUGGGGGCGAGAGAGGUGCUCCAGGGUGUGCUCCCCCUCAGCUCUGCGGGAGGACCUGGGAGCCCGUGGAGGGAGCUGGGGGGACGUCAUCUCUUAACUUCCCCACCCCUGGGAGCAGCGCCCUCAAACCGGGAGGAAGCCUGAGCACAGGCCGUGGAGGGGCUGCCACGAGACCUGCAGGUGCAGAGGGAGAGCGGGAGUCUGCUUCCCCAGCGCCGGGAGCGUGCACACGGGACUGCUUCUCCAGGCUCCCGCGCUGGUGAGGGAGCCGCGUCCCGCCAGACGUUCUCAUCCCAGCUCAGCCGCCAGACUCCGACCAGUAAUGAUUGUACUUUAUUCCCAAGAGAGGCCAAGCAAACGUAAGCCAAGGCUUUGCUUUGGCAAAGUCAGAAAAGAGCUCAUGGGAGCUCUUAUCUCAUGGGAAAGAGAAAUCUGAAAUCUUGAAACCCAUACAUAGGCCUAGUAUCUCCCACUGUUAUGGCAUUAAUAUAAGAAAGAACAACACAAGCCCUCACACAUAUUUCCUUCUUUCUUAUUUCAUGUCCCUCUUCAUCAGUCUCCAAAGAGGUGCGUGUAAUACGAGUGCUCCUGGGGACCCUGGCCUAUUGGACCCUGCCUGAGCGUCGGUCCCUACAUGGACAGCCUUCACCCUCACUGAGCUACAAAUGCUCUCCAGGAUACAUUCCUUAGCGACACAAACGCAGCUCUGGCAUGGGACCACUAGGGGCAGCGCGCUACAAAGAGAUCAGAAGCAGCUCCUUGCUUUGGAGGAGUGAGACCGCCUGAUGGUGACUAUGCCUUUGCAGAUUCUUCCUGGGCUCAGGCACACGUGCCAGGACCCUACGUGAGGCCCUGGGGAACACACCAGUGAGUGACUCCAGAUUACAUCCAUGUUCCCUGACGCCACCUGCCAGUACAGAGAUAAAACACUGAUCUGAGAAUCAGACCCAGUGCAUCCUGCCUGCACCAGCCUUCCGUUUUCGUGGUGGCUUUAGGAGACCAGAUGAGAACCCGUGGUGAGGUCAAAGGCCCCGAAAGCAAGAGGUAGGGGACAGCCGUGGAAAAGACAUGAGCUUUUCCUGAAGGGUGCGACUCUCAAGUUUAAUUUGGUUGGCUAGGGGGACUAUUGCUGCCCAGCAAAAAGUCCGCCCCCCCCAUCCCCCUGCCUCAACACCACCACCGCGAAAUUUACCACUGAUGCUGUCAUUUGUAAAUACCCUCUUGGAUCAGGUGUCAGCCAGUCAAAGACUUUCUCACUCAAUAGUCCCCUUCCCUCUACGCAGGUGGCGUCAGGGAAGAUGGGAUGUAGUCUGGAGGCACUCUACCACCAUGGAAAAGGUGCCUAUCACCCCUCAUGUACCCUGGCCAGCUUUCAUAUUUGAUUGAAAAGGAAAGAAACCAAGAAAGCAGCAUUUCUACCCCAGACGAAGAAAGGCGAGCUUACCUUGGCUCUGGACAGGGCUCCUUCCUCUGCUCUGUCACUGGGAAGAUCCUGUAAUAGGUCCUGCGGGGCGGGGUGGGGGUCCUAAGAAAACACACAAUGACUGUGGGGGCAUUGGUGGUGCCACUCAGAAACGACUUGGGGUGUGUGUGGCGAGGGCUUUGCUUGAUGCAUGGACCCUGGGGUGGCGGUGUGUGGAUGUGUGUGGUUAACAGGCAUGGACUGCUGGGGAGGGGGACGGCAAAGGAGAGAAGUGUGAAAGAGAAACGGAGUCCUUGGUUUGGCUUCGUCUCUCAAGGUGACCCAAACCUGAAAGAAACAAGAAAGCAGAGCCCUUGGUUUGGUUUUGUUGCUCAUGGUGACCUAAAGUAACACGAAUGUGUCAGUCUACGAGCGGUCCUGGCUUGCAGGCUGUGAUUCAGGGGCAUGGUCCCCAUCGCCCCUCCUGCCCAUUCUGAAGCUCACUUCGAUUGCCAUUGUCUUCCUGACCUCUUCCAAGACCAUUUCAGUCUCCACAAGGCAACGAUGCCGCGUUGAUGUUGGCCAUCUGUGGCAUGGGAUCUCACACACGAUGAGAAGACUUUUGGUGGAAGAGAUUUAGUUGCUGGCAGUGCAUUCUACCAUGCUUUGACAAUCCUCUGCUGUGGAGACGUGAGAACAUUGAGAUACUGCCGUUUCAAAAUAACGCCCUGUUAGCCAUGUGUUAUUUUUGCCUCCAGUCCUCUUUUUCUUUGUCACGUGUGUGUAUUCGUUGAGAGCGCUGGCUGUCCUCACCUGGGUACCAGCCUGGGGGUGGGCUAGUCCACUCCAGAGGGAGGGAGAUGGGGAGUGUGUGUGUGCGCGCACCAAUGCUUUUCAAUGCGGGCAGUGCAAGAGAGUAGCAAAGAGGGUGGGCACCAGGCACUUUGAGUUCUUAACCUGUCACCAUCCCCAGGGUGUGUAGCUCAAGGAUUUCAGGAUUUCUAGGGUUCCUGGUGAUAAUGCAGCCAACCCUCAGCUUUACCUGUCUGAGGCUGGCUCCUAAGGAGUCAUGACCCAGAAGCCGCAGAAGGCGACCCAGUCGUCCUUGAUCCUGCCUUCCGUGCUUAGCAUCUGUGAGCUGGCCAAAGAGCCCGUGGACUCUCUGCCUGCCCUUCAUGCUAACCACGCUGCCCAAGUCUCCGUAACAAGGACCCACCCAUCGGGACUGCUGGGGAGGCACCAUGGGCAGGAUUGCAACAUUGGCACGCUGGGACUGGAACCAAGAUUCCCCCUGUGUCUUAUGGCCCCGGGUUCUUCUCUUUAGGAGAACCUCUCCCCUGGCCUGCCCGUGACCUGAGUCGACUCGUGCUGCCUAACUGCAUGGCCGAAUGCCUCCUGGCUAGCCCACCCGCAGAUACGCGGUCCGCGGCUUCGAGACAGCUGUGGGGAGGGACCUGCUGGCCGUGGGGGAACCAGGGCACACUGCGGGCACUGGUCACGCUGAAUGGCUUCUAUGUUUUUGCCCAAAGCUUGUCCCGACCCAACUGGUGUGCAGCGAUCACCCCGGGAGACUUGAACCCCAGGCCCAGAUGGCCGCGGGGUGGAGCUCUGCGGGCUCCUACUUUGGGGGGUCGGUAUCGUGAGGACCUCUGCCGGCCUGCACAUGUGGGGAACCCCCUCUGGGCACUGGCAGCUGGCGCUCCCUGCCUGACCGCUUCCUUGGUGUAUGGGACCCCUGGGGCCACCCUUCUAGGGGUGACAGGGCUGGGGGCCUGGGCGCUUGAGGGUGCAAGCACCGAUGCUGGUGACUGAUGGUCCCAUUGAUGAGUGAUGGGUGUUCAGGGGGCCCAAGCCAUACCACCCACACCACAUGCCUGGCUCACAUGUGGCCUCUUCCACUCAAGCACUUGAGACUGGGGCACAUGCAUACCUGUCCCCCAGUUUCUCCGUCUGAGGAGUGGGGUUGUUGGGCAGACCUCCAGGUAUGGCCAUGGUGGGUGUCGAAUGAAUGAAUGUAUAUAAAGAGUGCGGUGGUGAUGGCCUCCUUCGCUUCCCUCUAUGCUACUUGAGAAAACUGGCAGGUUGCGCUGUGUAAGUUAGAUGUAUCUACUGGGGGAAGCACACACACACAACCUCUGCACACAUAUUCACAAUUAGCCCACUUAGACUUACACAUGGGCCACCCCCCACCCCACCGAAAAGGAAUGCAGCCACUGCCGGGGACUUACAGGACAUGGCCAUAGGUCUUUACCUGAAGUAUAAAUUUACGUCACCACACCCCCAAAUUCUCUCUCCCACCAGGAUGGUCCUCCAGGCCAAAAGCCAGCAAAAAAGCUCCGCCUUCCUCCUCCUCCUAGAUUUUUUUCCUUAGCAGUAGACUCAUUCCUGAAUAUGUAGAGUUUUCUUUGCUUUUGAGGCCACCCACAAGAGCAGAGAACAUACCCUCCUCCAUAUCUGUGGCACAAGGGAAUGUUCACUAUCUCUUGAGUUCUAAGUGAGGGCAGGAGUCAGGGAGGCCGGGCUCUUCCCUUGGAACGUCAGCAUCCUUGGAUUCACUGGGAGACUACCUCUCAGCUGGGGCUCCAGGUCCUUUCUCUUGGAAAUCAACUUUCGAGUUGGGUCUGAAGUUAUCCUUCUGAGAGUUCACAGAGCAAUGGCCCUCCCCAUAGGGGUUCUCCUGCAGUAAAUGGAUGCAGCGGAGGUAUCUCCACACUUACGCGGGUAUCUCAGCGAAGGCAGGCACCCAGGCCAUGUGCUUGCUGCUUCAAGGUGGCCAAGCCACGGUGGCUGCCUGCCUGGAGGGGUGUCCUGGGAUGUCCCGAACAGUACCAUUCUACUUUGUCUCUGAGUCUGACGGGAUACUUUAUAUAAGUGGGAUAGUACAGUAUAUGCCCUCUUAGGACUGGCUUCUUUCACUUAGCAUAAUGUCCUCAAGGUUUUUCCAUAUCGGUGAAAGUGAAAGUCGCUCAGACAUGUC